AAACCGUUGAAAGGGAAGCGAAUGGAGUUAGCAAUUCGCCCUGCCAGAUUCAGUUGCUCGCGCAUCGCGACGGGCGCGCUCUCGAUCCGCAUGGACGAGACGCGCCCGGGCGCGACGUGCCGGCGGCGCACUUCUGGCGGGCGAGCGUCAGCGUCGGUCGCCGACGAGCGAUAAGGUCGCGAGCAAGGUAGACGUGCCCGCACGGGCGCGUUGUUAAGGCCCGCGUACGCAUAGCGCGACGACGACCGUGGCUUGCAUUCUCGACGACGCGUGCCUGGCUGGCGACUCGUGCGAUCGGUCCGGCAUGUCGACCGCGGCGGACGGCACGCCUGUGCGCUCGAACCGCUGCCGGCCGCUUGCACGAUGCUCGCACACUACGCGUCGAAGAUGCUGACGACCAUACGGCUCCAUCCGACCCGUCUUGAAACACGGACCAAGGAGUCUAACAUGUGCGCGAGUCUCCGGGCGAUCGAAACCCGUGGGCGCAAUGAAAGUAAAGACCGUCCUCGCGACGGUUGAGGUGAGAAGCGCGUUCUCGCUGACGCGCCGCAUCAUCGACCGACCUAUUCUGCUCUCAGAAAGGUUUGAGUAAGAGCGUGCCUGUUGGGACCCGAAAGAUGGUGAACUAUGCCUGAAUAGGGUGAAGCCAGCGGAAACACUGGUGGAAGCUCGUAGCGAUUCUGACGUGCAAAUCGAUCGUCGAAUUUGGGUAUAGCGGCGAAAGACUAAUCGAACCAUCUAGUAGCUGGUUCCCUCCCGAAAGUUUCCCUCAGGAUAGCUGGAGUUCAUACGAUGCAGU
rnacentral:rRNA from 1 species